AUAAGAGACAGGGUGAAUCAUCGAAUCUUUGAACGCACAUUGCGCCCUUUGGUAUUCCUUAGGGCAUGCCUGUUCGAGCGUCAUUUAAACCUUCAAGCUCAGCUUGGUGUUGGGUGACUGUCCGCCGCCCCCGGGCGCGUGGACUCGCCUCAAAAUUAUUGGCGGCCGGUACAUUGGCUUCGAGCGCAGCAGAAACGCGAACUCGGGCCCGUCGUAUUGGCUCCCAGAAGCUAUCUUCACAAUUUUGACCUCGGAUCAGGUAGGGAUACCCGCUGAACUUAAGCAUAUCAAUAAGCGGAG
rnacentral:misc_RNA from 1 species